ACCUGCCGCCGCUCGCUCGACUCGAUUGAGCCGCGAACUGCGAUUGCUCGUGGACGUUAGCAGACGCGCGGCAAACGGCGCCGAGCAAGUUGCUUUUAUUCUCCCCGGCUGGGACACUGUGCUUUCGCGACGCGACGCGCCAGUCUAACCGUAAACGUGAAUCUUUUACGAGCGCGUCCUCGUCAUUGUCGUCGUUCUCCUCCUCAUCAUCGUAGUAGUAGCAGCGCGUUACUUCUUUCACUUCAGUGCUAAAUUGUGUGUCCCGCUCAGCUACGUGUGUCUCUUGUGCAACACGAACGACCUUGCCCUCAGCCAGCUGCCGGAACGAGGAGCACAUCCCAGGAACACAUCGUAAACACGCAAUCGGUGAAUCACCGCGCCGCAAAAUGGGCUGUGUCUCGCAGUGCGCCAAGUACUUCCUCUGCUUGUUCAACUUCGUAUUCUUCAUCGCCGGGGGAGCGGCGUUGACCGUCGGUAUCUGGCUCUUCGCCGACAGGAGUUCGUUCACCAACCUGAUCGGCAAACUCGAUCAGUCCGACAUCUUGAAUAAAACGGAUGCCGAUGUCAUCAAAGUGAUUGCCUACAUUCUUAUCAUAGCCGGCGCCCUCACGUUCAUCAUCAGCUUCCUCGGUUAUUGCGGUGCCAUGUUCGAGUCUAGAUGUCUUCUCUGUGUCUAUGUCAUUCUAAUCGCACUGGUUUUACUCCUGGAGUGUAUCGCAAUUGGACUGGCUUGUGGAUACAAAGAUACCGAGAGAAAUACGCAGAAAUUCUGGAAGUCAACCAUAAAGUACUACGCGACCAGCGCCGAUAAAGCCGAAACCGUGACAGUCGCAUGGGACGGUAUCAUGAACCAGUUCCAUUGUUGCGGCGUGGACAAUUAUCGAGACUUCGGCGAAAAUACGAACUUCACCGCGACCGGAAAAAUGGUUCCCGAGGCCUGUUGCAUAAAAGAGAACGACGUUCUGAAGGACCCUUCCUGUCCAAUCAGUCCCACUGCCUCAAACUCGUAUUACGAAACGGGUUGCUUCGAGGCCAUAAUAACCGCCAUACAGGAGAACAAGGCGAUAGUGAUCAGCGUGGCUGCUACUCUGCCUUUAAUCGAGUCUCUAAUCAUUAUUCUGGCGCUGUACCUAAUCUUCUUCCACUGGCGUCCGCAACAUGUUUAUCGAUGCGUAGAACCUUCUGGCAAGGAGUAACCUCGAGAGCAGAAUGUGCUAAGCUUUCUGCCAUGAAAAGAACGCAGUUCUUUUUCCUUUAAGGACUUCGCGAAUACCUCGACUGUGUUUUGUUAACUUGUUGGUGCUGCUGUUGACGAGGCAUUAAGAGCAUGGAACUGUUGAGUAGUGCCUCCUCCUAGCACGUUGAGCCCUUUGUGCUCCUGUGCCUUGCUUGCUUGAAACUCUAGCCGCUAGCCCAGCCUAGGCUAGCUGAGAAGUCGGCCAACAG
rnacentral:misc_RNA from 1 species